GGCCCUAUCGUCUAACGGUUAGGACGUAAGCUUCUCAAGCUUGAGAUCGGGGUUCGAUUCCCCGUAGGGUCA
rnacentral:tRNA from 1 species